AUUGAACGCUGGCGGCAUGCUUUACACAUGCAAGUCGAACGGCAGCACGGACUUCGGUCUGGUGGCGAGUGGCGAACGGGUGAGUAAUACAUCGGAGCGUACCCAGUAAUGGGGGAUAACUAUCCGAAAGGAUAGCUAAUACCGCAUACGCCCUACGGGGGAAAGAGGGGGAUCGCAAGACCUCUUGUUAUUGGAGCGGCCGAUGGCUGAUUAACUAGUUGGUGGGGUAAAGGCCUACCAAGGCAACGAUCAGUAGCGGGUCUUAGAGGACGAUCCGCCACACUGGCACUGAGACACGGUCCAGACUCCUACGGGAGGCAGCAGUGGGGAAUCUUGGACAAUGGGCGCAAGCCUGAUCCAGCAAUGCCGCGUGCGUGAAGAAGGCCUUCGGGUUGUAAAGCGCUUUUGUCAGGGAGCAAAUCCUUGUGGCUAAUACCCACCGGGGAUGAGAGUACCUGAAGAAUAAGGACCGGCUAACUACGUGCCAGCCGCCGCCGUAAGAC
rnacentral:rRNA from 1 species